UCCCAGGUAGCUCAGCUGGCAGAGCAGGUGACUGUUAAUCACCUUGUCGGGGGUUCGAAUCCCUCCCUGGGAGCCA
rnacentral:tRNA from 1 species